rnacentral:rRNA from 1 species
AACGAACGCUGGCGGCAGGCCUAACACAUGCAAGUCGAACGCCCUAGCAAUAGGGAGUGGCAGACGGGUGAGUAACACGUGGGAACGUGCCUUUCGGUUCGGAAUAACCCAGGGAAACUUGGACUAAUACCGGAUACGUGCGAGAGCAGAAAGAUUUACCGCCGAAAGAUCGGCCCGCGUCCGAUUAGUUAGUUGGUGAGGUAAUGGCUCACCAAGGCGACGAUCGGUAGCUGGUCUGAGAGGAUGAUCAGCCACACUGGGACUGAGACACGGCCCAGACUCCUACGGGAGGCAGCAGUGGGGAAUAUUGGACAAUGGGCGCAAGCCUGAUCCAGCCAUGCCGCGUGAGUGAUGAAGGCCCUAGGGUUGUAAAGCUCUUUCGCCAGGGACGAUAAUGACGGUACCUGGAUAAGAAGCCCCGCUAACUUCGUGCCAGCAGCCGCGGUAAG